CGAGCCGCCGUCGCCUGCCAUCCUCCCCGUCCGCCGCGCCGCCACCAUCCUCCGCGUCCGCCACCGCCAUCCUCCCCGUCCGCCACCGCCGCCCCCAUCCUCCCUGUCCGCCGCCGCCAUGCCAUCGCCGCCACCUACCGGACGGCGCUGUGAAGGAAGCGACUAGAGAGGGAGGCGUCGCCGGUGUCGUGGACCCAUGCCGGCGCAACGGCGUGUGCGCGUGCCUCCGCGGGUUCGCGCAGCGGUCGCCGGAGGCGUCGCGGGUCAACUGCGUCGGGGAGGAUGGGCGCGCGCCACGCCGCUCUUCCCCGACACAACGUCCGCCGUUCUUCCUUGGUCGGGCAGUGGUCAAGUGCUUCUUCAAGCUGGGCCGCACGGUGGGAGAGGAGCCCCAGGCCGCAUGCUUCUUCUUGCGCUCCAUCGGGAGAGACCUCGAGGAUGCCAAGAUCUGCAAUGGCUUGAAGAACGAGGCAAUUCUUGGAAGCAACACGUACAUGUGGUCUUUCUUUCACUAUGAUUCCAAGGUUGUUUCUCUCCAUAUUCCAUUCCUCUCACAAAAUUUUCUUUUCUUGGGCUUUUACUUUAUUAUGUGUGUGCUAUGCUACUGACAAAAUAUCUAAUUCUGGUGCUUAAUUAUCAUGUCUAUGUAAGCAUCAUGUUCUCCUCUGUUUAAUCUCAUUAUUGCUGUGUAAAGGGAAAUCAAGGAUUACUUUUCUUGGUACAUAUGCAGUGUAUUUUUGUUUUGAGUAGUAACAGUUCAGUUAGAGGUGAAAUAAAUAAUCAAAGUACAGUACAAUCGUUUAUCGUCCGUGAAUCUUCUUCUUUCCCCGUUUAUCGUCCCGCCGACGUGCUCUUGAGGCAGCUGAUCCUAACUUAGGCUGCCGCCACUUGGUGCUCAGAAUCACAACGUCUCCGUGGAGCCGCAGUGGAUAGCAUGGUCUUGUCGCCAUGCUGGGGACGCAGCGGCAGCAUAUAUCCAGUCCAGAUCCGCUGGUUUCAGAUCAACGGAUUACCCCAGUUCAUCUUCCUACUCGCUUCUUUUCUCCUCACACACACAUCCCUGCAAAUUAGACUGUUUUUUUUACAUCUCUUCAUUCCAGUGGUGCAAUUUGCCAUUUAGUACUGAUUAGUUUACACUGAUUUAUGUCAGAUCUAACCAGAUUGAAUCAUUAACUGAUGGAGGAUUUGGAUGCCCCACACACUGUUCCGAUAUAACACCAGAACUUUAGCUUUCUCGGGAAUGUGACGAUGGCUUCCAUGAAAAAAUUCAUCGAAGUGACUGUCGAUGACCUACAGGAGCGUAGCAGACUCGAUGUGGCAACCGGGUCGCUCCUGAAUGCGGUCAAGUAGUGCCACCUGGCCGGUGAAGUGGCCGACAGCAGGAAUUCCGUCGUCGACAUCGUCGAGAUUCGCUUCAAGGGCCUGGAAGAUGCUCAACAACCAAAUCGUCGUCUCGUCCUCUCCAAGAGAAGGGGCCAACUCAAGCAGGUACAUCUGCUCGCUACAGCUCGCUCCUCCUCCCUUCUUCUCUAUUCCAUGGUUGAUUGUGUCAAACUUGAGCUGGUAGCUACUAUUCAGAUAUGUAACUUAGAUUUCAUGUCCUGCCUCUCGGGUAUGUGCUUAUUGUGGUUGCAGUCCUGUCGACUGAAAUGUUGUUCUUGGGUGCUAAAUUAAUUUGGUUAUCCUAUCAGCUCCAAGUUUCCAGUUUAUAAUUAUAUAUGAGACAUAGCUGCUUUGUUGUUGGUUGUUCUGGUCGAUUCUUUUGUUUUCUGAUACUCUGCUUGUUGCGAUUUGAAUGCUACCUAUGUUGAUAUACUGGUAAUUGUUUGGUUGCCUCGGUUGUGAUUCUAAGAUUUCUUAUUUACUUUGAUUAUGAUGUUUGUUGUGGUUGAUUCUGCUACAUCUUUCUAUUUCAGGACUUUGUGUUGUUGGUUGGUCUGUGUUGUUGUUUUUAUCGUCUUCAGGCGAGCCAUGCUCUUUCCCCCGUAUUUUGGUAUCUAUAUACCUGCGUCCUUCUGAUCUUUUUCAAACUGCCAUUUUCCCCCUUCUAGGUCUGUUGGGGUGUUUUUUCUUUUAUUCCUUAAUUUGUCACAUGCAUCUUUUGCUUGUGUUAGUCGUUUGUGCCUCUUUUCGAGGCUCUUACUGCCAACUGCCUUUUCGUUCAUAUGUUCGUGAGUGACACGAUGGAUCUGUGCUUGGAGGGGUGGACCAAUGUAUAUGUCGCGCAAGAGACCAACUGAUCCCAAACAUUGUUUUUCUUUACUGUUCGCUAUGGCAGAUAUCGGGCAGGCAUCGUCUUCCUGUUUUGCCUGAGGUGUGCCUCAGCUGGGGCAUUUUGAAAUGUGCUAUUACUGUCGUGGUCUUUUCUUUUGCAACAUGGUAAUAUUUUUGUCAAUUUGGAGUUGUUUGGUCUGACUAUAUAUAUAUGUCUUUGGUAAUAUAAUGGAUUGGAACGAAAUGGCCGGCUCUGUUUAUAUGCCAGGAGGGCCUGUGUUCUACCCUACUCUUAUCAUGGUAGCUGAUUGUCCUGUCCCUCUGUUGGUAUGCUCAUGGACAAUUGUAUGUUAUCAUGUUAGCUGAUUGUCCUGCGUUGUAUUAGUAUAUACUCGAAUACAUGAUUUUUUUCUCUUUGGCUACUGAAUUUUAUUGCUAUUCUUCUGCACACAUGUACAUGCGGCUCCGGUUCUAUUAUACUGUACAUCAGGUUCAGUAUUCACAAUUAUUUUCAUGAGUCCAAGGAUAGUUCUGUUUGGUGUCGUGCCCUGUAUGAUUAAUGUUCAUGAUUUAAUUACAAGUGAAAACAUUUGUAUCCGUUGAAACGCAAUGGUUUUCCCCCUGCAUUGUGAUAAUUAAUUUACAUUUGCACUAUAGUAGGCUCCAAAUCCUAUUAAGUGUGAUACGAAUGGGAAUGGAAUAUUUAUGAAUAAGAAAGCUUUCUUACUCCUGUUGGAUUUUAUGUCGCAGCAAUAUCCCUGUUUUUGUUUCCCUGCAAGACUCGAGCUAUAUGUAAUAGUGCUAUAACUUUCAGCAUCUCCUAAAGUACAUCCUAAGUUGUACUCAAUCACCACUACUAUUUUAAUUUCCAUUGCAGCUUUCUGAAAUAAGUUUAUCCGUCUUGCUGAAUGUUAAAAAAAACAGAAGGUAUCUUAAGUACAACCAUAGACUGCCUGCACAGUCCUUCCAAAGGAAAAAAAUCUGACUCGAUGUUUUGAUUCAGCAGCAUUGCUUUUCAGAUAAUAUAGGAGAGUGGAAGGUUCAUGCUCAUUUUUCUUUUUUGUAUUUUUUCUUGUUCAUGCUUAUACUAUUUAUUCUUGCAAAUCUGUACUAUUGAAAUAGAAAGAUCAUCUUGUGUGUUCAGACCCAUACACUUAUCCUGCAAUAUGUGAAGGAAUGCUUAUAUUGGCAUCCUGCUGUAGAAAAUGGUUAGCUUAGCAACAACUAUUGUGUCUUCUAAUUAUGUCGCCUCAAAUUUGUAGGAACGCUAUUGUUGCUUUCGAAAUGCUAUUGGAUCUUAUAAAUUUUUUUGGACCUGUUAUUCAUUCAACAUUGUUAGUUAGCUCACUCGUUGGAGUAGAACUUCAAGCCGAACAGAGGUAUGCUCUCCAACUUUACUUGGGGAAGGGAACUGGGUGUUGCUAAGAGAGAUGUUUUAAAAACUUGUGUUGCUACAAGCCACUAAGGAACUCGGUCUGAGGUGGCGAGUUGGUCGCGAACUUAUGUUUUGCUUAUACUGGUCCUGUCCCUGAUAAGGGUGUGUGUAUCGAGUGUUUGCCAAUUUAGUUCUGGCAUGUUGAGUCCAUGGACAAGUAUGGAUUAUUCUCUAUAGCUUUAGCCAAUUUAGGAGACAACCGCUGUUUUCCUGCACAUUUGCAUAUAGUUUCAGUCGCUAUGAUAGUAAACUCGCUCUCAACGACUCCGAUCUUACAAAAUGUUAGGUCUCCUUAGUUCCAAAUAUGGUUUUACAGGUUCUAAAAUUAUUUCUUUGAUGCGAGGUGCCAUGCUGUGGAUAACAAGGAGAUUAUCAAGGCGGAGCGGCGGUGAGUAUGGAGCUCAUAAUCAUCAGUUCAUCACCAUGAAGCAGAAGGAAUGGUAUAGCUUUGCCAUGCUGGACUUUGGCAGCCGCUGCUCCUCGGCAAUCAACACGAGGUACAACCGCUGCCACCACUCCUUCGCAGCGACGCAGGCCAGCGACGAGGAGGCUCGCAAUGGUGGGGGACACAUCACCAUCUGCCGGAGAGGAGAAAGGCAUACCUACCCCUUAACGAUUGAAAUGCAGGUCCAGGGAAAACAUCUGUACUACUAUUGGGCCAAUUGAUGCUAGGUGUACAUUGAGAUGUUUUAGAAAAAUAGAUCCUUGAUGCCCGACAUAGUGCAAUGGUGAGAUCCACUUAUUUAUGAUGGCGAGGAUGAUUGUUAGGCUGGCAUGUGGAGCUGUACUAAUAAGCUAUGAGAAGGUCCUCACAUCACAACACCCGAGCAAGUUUGGCAAGGCUUGCUCGCCAUGGCCUACCACAUCGGCGAGACGGAUCGAGCACGUGAUCACCAUCAACAGGUCUUUCGUCACAACACCCGAGCGAGCGAGAUGUUCACACAAAGUUAUAUGAUACACUGCUAUUGACAUAUGUCGUAGAUGGACAGUACAUAUCGUUUCUCUCCAUGUUACAAUUUCUGUUACCUCGGCAUUUGGAAGACAUGUCAUCUGAAUCGUCUAUCAUGACCGAACCAUUACUAUCACAAGCAUCUUACUUUUAGAAAUCCAUAUGAUGGUUCAGUCAUCUAUAUUAUGUGUGCCAUUUGUUACCUCUGAAAUAUAUAUUAUGUGUGCCCUGUCAUGUUGGUUUAUUUUUGGUGCCAAAAUGCUGCUGAGCAUUUGGUGUGACUGAUUGCACUGCCCAUUUAGUGUUGUCUGGGCAUAUGCCAUGUAUUGGACACAACCAUGUUAUCUAUAAAGGCAAUUUUUCACUUCUAUGCA